CUCCAAUUUACUUCUCAUUUUCGAAAAUCUCUUCCCAUUUCCCUCAACUUCUCUUCCCCGAAUUUGCACCCCAUCACCCAAAUCAAUUUGCACAGCUUCACUGGCCUCAAUUUUCCUCUCAAUCUCUCAAACAUAACCUACUCGUUGUUGCUCAAGCUCUCGUUGGAUCUGUGCUCGCCGCUCAAGCCCUCCUCACACAUGUGCUCGCCGCUCAAGCUCUCGUCACACCUGUGCCUGUCGCACCCUCAAACACGUCUCCCCUGAGCUUUCCGUGUAGUUCUCAGGUAUGUGUUUAUUUAUAUUUCUUUCACAAUUCAUUAUUCUCUCCCUCAAGGUAUUUAGGGUUUGUUUUAUUCUCCCUAUUUCUUGAUUCCAAUUCAUGAAAAGCUUAAAUUGCAAUUGGAAUCUAGCGAGCUUGAGAUGUGGAAAAUUGAAUUGGAAAAGCGUGAGACACAUAGUGAAAGUGAAAGAAGCAUCAAGGGUUGCUUUCUACCUCAGUGUUGUCAUGGGUAGCACAGGUGCUUUGCAGGGUUGUUCCCAUGUCUUUUGUGGAUGACAUUAUUGUACAUUGGUUUCCUUAAAGAAUGAGUUUUUAGGGUGAUGUGGUGUGAAAUUGGGUACCAAUUGUGGAAGAAAAAUAUGUUUUUUUCUUCUUGUUUUUUAUUUUCCCAGUUGGUGUGAGGGAAUGUAAAGUUUCUAUGUAGUGAGAGAGACACUUCAAGAACUGAAAAAUUGGAUUUUUCUUUGUGGGUUGUGGUCUUUUGCUUUUAGCAAUGUGGAUAGAAAUCAAUUGUUGAGGAAGCUGGUUUUUACUUAUGGUUUUUGGGAGUGGUGUCUUUGUUGUGGGGGUGGGGUGUGUUGCAGAAAUGAGUGACUCUGCGGUGUAGAAUUUGGCUAUCACGGAGAAGAAGGUGCAAAAGCCUGGUGGCUGUGUUGGGAUUUUCCUUCAGCUCAUUGAUUGGAAGAGGAGACUUGCCAAGAAAAAGAUCUUCUCUCAGAAACUUCUGACUCCUGGCUCGUGCAAAGAAGUUCAGGGGAGAUGAGAAAAUGCCAAAUUCCAAGCAACAUUUGUAGGAGCAUUGAAUGUUAGAAUGUUGCAACUUGCAAAUCUAGGUUGAGCUUUUGUGCAUUAGAGAGAGGAUUGGUGGGUUUCUAAAGACGUUGGUUAUUCUGGUCAUCCUAUAAAAGCUCAUUUGAUGAUUAAGUUUGACCAAACUAGACCAUUUGGAUAUGGGGAAUAUAUCUUCUUUGAGCUUGUGCCCCUUUUCUUGUGUCAUUUUGUAUUUUCAAUAUUUCUUUUGAUUGAAGCUUGCUUUCUACAUUUGCAGUUUUCUUCAAGGCUGUGUCAUUGACAUCCUAUCGCAACUGAUAUAACCAUUGGGUGGUUGUCAUUUUGGAUUUUGUGAUUUAGGUUGGUGAUGGAGUGUUUGAAGUGUUGUCUACUUCCGGUGAUACAUACUUAGGUGGUGAUGACUUCGAUUAGAAAAUUGUUGAUUGACUGGCUGCAAGCUUCCAGAGAUAUAAGUGAAGCUCCAUGCAUGCAAUUCCAUUGGUGGUGCAACUUUGAUUAAGCUCAAGGUUUUAAAUAUCGCUCCGUUACAUGAAUACCGGCCGCGAAAUAACGGUUUCAGUGGCUACCGAUACCGAAACAGGACAAUUUCACGGUGGGAAGCAAAAUCACAAAUAACGUCCGCAACAGAACGGUAUUGCGGCCGCAACGCAACGCCGUUUUCCCCGCAUCAGAGACUGGUACAGCUGCAAACUCCAUUUUCAUUGCUGGAGAGGUGGUGCAGUUGCAAAUCAAACACCAUUUUUCUGCUUUCGUGGUCUUCACAGCACUCAAUCUUCACAUUUUCAGACUUCAAAUUGCAAUAAUUGGAUCGAAUUCGAUCAUGUUUCUCGCUCCUGUGUUUGUGCUUUUUGUUGGUGGUAUUGCAAAUCUGGGUGUGGUUUAGUUUGGGUCGGUGAAAUAGUGGCUAAGGAGAGAGAAGAAGCAGAAAACUAAGAGAUAAGAAAGUGACACCUAAAAGUUAAUAUGAGCCAAAUGGAGGUGUGAAGGAUAAGAUAAAAAGGGUCUCAAUUCAUAUAAAAAGGGCCUGCAUAAUUCAUUGGUUAAAUUUAUUGUAUUAGUUUCAUUUUUUUCCUUUAAAUAUCUUAUAUUAAUAAGAAAAUUAAGU